rnacentral:lncRNA from 1 species
CCCUUCAGAUACAGGCACCUAAACUAUAUGGAAGCAAUCAACAACAUGGAAAAUUGAUGUAAGAGCCGAACAGUCUUAUACUUCAAUGAAACUUCUACAUGUAUGUAAGUGAUCCCUCAAGAAAAUGUUUAGAAAAAAAAGUCAGAGAAGGUCAAGUGACAUAGCACCUAUGAAUUCCCUUUCUGUAACAACUCAUACCAAGUAAACAAUUUUUCCCAGCAAUUCUCGUUCCGCAUUUACCUCAGGAAAAUACUUCUAAUUCUGCAAUAAGUUACCCACCUCCAGAUUUUAGCAUGUUACUCAACCUGUAAUAUAACAAAAAGUAAUCAUCAAUUUCAUUAGGCUCUUAAAAAAAAGCUUAUCAAGCAAAAAGGUGCAGUGUAAAACUAUUUGACUCCACAUCUACAAGUACUGCUGCUCAUGUCACUGGAGUGCUUCAAGUUAGCAGCUACAGUAAAAAUAAUGCCGAGAUAGGAAUCAUUAGAAAGAAAAGAUUGAUUCCAUACACCUCCUUUUUUCCUAAAGAAUAUCCAUCAUAUAAUAGAAGUGCAUAUUUUCUUAAGUGGUUCAUUGAGACUCGUUUGCUGUUUUUUAUGAACGCUGGUCUUUGUAAUCUUGAUGCAAUACUAGGAACUUCCAACUGCCAAGCUCCAAACACGAAGAUUAAAAGGACUUCAACAGCGACUUCAUACUUUUUUAAGCUAUAUUACCCAUCUGAUAAGAGCAACUAAAACCAACAGUGUAAGCAUAUAUUUCAUCUAAUAUCUUCUUUCAGUAGAAAAUGGGGCAUGUGUAAACUUUUCGGAGAGUAAGUCUUGAAUAUUACUACAAUUGAGAUCCCUACUGACAAGGUUUUGAUAGAAACUUAAUCCCUACUGCUACAGAGCCGCAUAUUCUAAUAGUGAAAAUGGAUUAAGGUAAAAGAGGGUCUAUGUCAUUCAUCCUCAUUUUAUUCUAGGGCAACAAUCUAAGAGUAAUGGGUAAAAACCUAAUUGGUAGCAUUAUUGAACUUGCAAAUGCCAACAUCAAACACCAAAAUACACUAGACGGUAACUUAAUUUCAGACCACACAUUCGUUUAAUAUAUAUUUCUUUCAAACAAACUUCUAAAGAACCAUUCAACAAAUACCAAGCCAUAUUUGUUGAAAUAAAUGAUUAGACAAACUUGAGGUAGUAAUUACAGAUACUUCUACUCUAUCCAUCAACAAUCAUCAUUAUUCUAAAUGAACUAGUAUCUUUUGAAUGUGCACCAACAAAUCUUGUCGAGAACACAAUAUAGAGUUUUCAAAUUCAGUGGCAUAUAUCAAGUGCAAAGACAACCACAUAACAAGCAUAUAGUUCAGUACGAAAUUUUCUAUUAAUAAUUUAUAGAAAAUGUUAAAGUUUUAAAAACUUUAAGCAUGCUAGUUCUAAUUAUUCACUCAAAUAAUCAUGUUUCACACUUACAAAAACAUAAGCUCUUACCAAAG